rnacentral:Y_RNA from 1 species
AGCUGGUCCAAAGGCAGUGAGUUAUCUCAAUUGAUUGUUCACAGUCAGUUCCAGAUCGAACUCCCUGUUCUACUCUCCCCCCUUCUCAAUAAUGUACUUGACUAGUCUUAA